UAAUUUUACCUGUCAACAAUCUGCAGCACAGAAGGUUGUUUCUGAAUUUCCUGGCUCUAGAAGUUACGGAGAUACUUAUGAAAAUGUACUUAACUGCCAGUGAGUCAGCAUUCGUCGGUCUGAAACUCAUUUCCAGGAAUUAUGUGAUUUACAAGACUUGACUUCCAAACCUGGCGACUGACAUAGCAAAAGCAAGAAUAAAGAAACUCUCAAAUAUAAACGCCAGACGUCUUUCAAAUGCAAAAUACAGUAAGAAAACAGUCAGUUUCUUGAGACAUAUCUGUAUUUGUCAUUUUAAAUUAGAGAAUAAAUAGUGGAGAAAUAAUCAAUCAUCUCUGUCGUCUUCUUUUUGGAGGCAUGGUUUCUUCACUGAUCUCAAGAUGAAAGGUCACACUGAGCUGGAAAAGGAAACAUUCUUUAAAUUUAACAGUACUAAUGAAGACCAUUYUUGUUCUUUUGGAUUCAUCAAAUGUGGAACGAAUGCUUCAGGUGUAUUACCAGCAUCAUAACAAUGGACAGUAUCUGCUUCUGGCACCUAAGCAGAGUAAAUCCGAGGUUCUUGAUGGCCAUCCUUUCUAAGAACUGUCCAUUCUGCAGUCCCAUAAUGUCCAUAAAAUCCUGACAUUUCUUUUAUGGAGUCAAGACAAACCUUCAAGGCUGCAGAACUUGGCUUAUUGUUGCAGCAAGCCAAGACGAGCAGGUACCAUGUGACUCUGCAAAAUCAGAGGGUCCAGCUGACUUCAGCAGACUCCAUAUGGGCAGCAUUGAUUUGAAUGUGCACCCUGAAUCCUUGAAGGAUUCAGUCCCUCCCAUGCAGAAGAAGGACAAAUUCUGAGGUGAGAACUGCCCAACCAGGGAUCAGCUUUGGAAUGAAACAG
rnacentral:lncRNA from 1 species